ACCGAAAUAGCCCAGUUGGGAGAGCGUUAGACUAUAGGUUGAAAGGUCCCUGGUUCGAUCCCUGGGAUUCGGGA
rnacentral:tRNA from 1 species